rnacentral:ncRNA from 1 species
CCGUAGCGGUCCUGACGUGCAAAUCGGUCGUCCGACCCGGGUAUAGGGGCGAAAGACUAAUCGAACCAUCUAGUAGCUGGUUCCCUCCGAAGUUUCCCUCAGGAUAGCUGGCACUCGCGGGCGGCAGUUUUACCCGGUAAAGCGAAUGAUUAGAGGUCUUGGGGCCGAAACGAUCUCAACCUAUUCUCAAACUUUCAAUGGGUAAGACGCCCGGCUCGCUGGCGUGGAGCCGGGCCG